GGAGAUAGCUCAGUGGUGGAGUGCAUGCCUGCUUAGUAUGUAUGAGGUCCUGGGUUCAGUCCCCAGUACCUCCA
rnacentral:tRNA from 1 species